rnacentral:rRNA from 1 species
UACGGAGGGUGCGAGCGUUGUCCGGAAUCAUUGGGCGUAAAGGGCGCGUAGGUGGCGGGACAAGCGUGCGGUGAAAGCCUGGGGCUCAACCCCGGGUCGGCCGUGCGAACUGUUUUGCUUGAGCACUGUAGAGGCAGGCGGAAUUCCGGGUGUAGCGGUGGAAUGCGUAGAGAUCCGGAAGAACACCGGUGGCGAAGGCGACAUCCUGGACCGGUAUUGACGCUGAGGCGCGAAAGCCAGGGGAGCAAACGGG